GGAUUAGCAAGAGUUAAGAAGGGCCCUGGGCCUCUAGAGUGUUCCACACCAAAGCAAACUGUUGCCCUGAACAAUUGCCUGGUCUCUGUGUUCAUAGACUGUUUACCCUGAAGUGGUUAUACAGAG
ensembl:snoRNA